rnacentral:sRNA from 1 species
GUAUCUCGGAAGGAGAAAAUAACCGUCCCGAAAGGGUGAAUUUGCUCAGCUGUUCUCUUAUGCCCGGAGAAUGGCUCUUGCUUGAUAUAAGCAGUCGGACGCUGCUUGCAUGGCAUGAGGUCUGUGCUUAUCCUCAUGUUUCAUGGCUGGUCUUAUUACGCAGAUAGAGUAAGCACACAAUCUGUACAAGGAGGUUAG